rnacentral:tRNA from 1 species
GCCGAGGUGGCGGAAUGGUAGACGCAGCGGACUCAAAAUCCGCCGGGAUCAAACCUGUGGGGGUUCGAGUCCCCCCCUCGGCACCA